ACGAACGCUGGCGGCGUGCUUAACACAUGCAAGUCGAACGGAAAGGCCCUGCUUUUGUGGGGUGCUCGCGUGGCGAACGGGUGAGUAACACGUGAGUAACCUGCCCUUGACUUUGGGAUAACUUCAGGAAACUGGGGCUAAUACCGGAUAGGAGCUCCUGCUGCAUGGUGGGGGUUGGAAAGUUUCGGCGGUUGGGGAUGGACUCGCGGCUUAUCAGCUUGUUGGUGGGGUAGUGGCUUACCAAGGCUUUGACGGGUAGCCGGCCUGAGAGGGUGACCGGCCACAUUGGGACUGAGAUACGGCCCAGACUCCUACGGGAGGCAGCAGUGGGGAAUAUUGCACAAUGGGCGGUAGCCUGAUGCAGCAACGCCGCGUGCGGGAUGACGGCCUUCGGGUUGUAAACCGCUUUCGCCUGUGACGAAGCGUGAGUGACGGUAAUGGGUAAAGAAGCACCGGCUAACUACGUG
rnacentral:rRNA from 1 species